CCACCUUUGACAUGGCAGGAACUUACCAGAGAUGGUUUGGUGCUCGAAAGAGAACCUGCACACAGGUGCUGCAUGGCUGUCGUCAGCUCGUGUCGUGAGAUGUUGGGUUAAGUCCCGCAACGAGCGCAACCCUUGCCAUUAGUUGCUACAUUCAGUUGAGCACUCUAAUGGGACUGCCGGUGACAAACCGGAGGAAGGUGGGGAUGACGUCAAGUCCUCAUGGCCCUUAUAGGUGGGGCUACACACGUCAUACAAUGGCUGGUACAAAGGGUUGCCAACCCGCGAGGGGGAGCUAAUCCCAUAAAGCCAGUCGUAGUCCGGAUCGCAGUCUGCAACUCGACUGCGUGAAGUCGGAAUCGCUAGUAAUCGUGGAUCAGAAUGUCACGGUGAAUACGUUCCC
rnacentral:rRNA from 1 species